GGGCCCGCACAAGCGGUGGAGCAUGUGGUUUAAUUCGAUGCAACGCGAAGAACCUUACCUACCCUUGACAUCCUCGGAAUCUGCCGGAGACGGCGGAGUGCCUUCGGGAACCGAGUGACAGGUGCUGCAUGGCUGUCGUCAGCUCGUGUUGUGAAAUGUUGGGUUAAGUCCCGUAACGAGCGCAACCCCUGUCCCUAUUUGCCAGCGAUUCGGUCGGGAACUCUAGGGAGACUGCCGGUGACAAACCGGAGGAAGGUGGGGACGACGUCAAGUCAUCAUGGCCCUUACGGGUAGGGCUACACACGUGCUACAAUGGCAGGUACAAAGGGUUGCAAGACGGCGACGUGGAGCUAA
rnacentral:rRNA from 1 species